CAGUUUUCUCCCACAGUCUAUGGAUGGAGAAUCUGUUUUCACAGAGGUUCUUACUGCGGGUGAUAUGUAAGGAAGAAUUCACCAGGGAGGAAGGGCCCACGAUGGUGAUGUGCCUGCUUCACAAGCCUGCAAAUGAGUAAGGAAACACAAGCCUCUGAGGGCAAGGAAAUCGAAAGAGUGUAAAGGGGCACAUUUUACAGCUACACCUUCACCCACUUUGACUGUGUCUUGGUUCCUGAUUUCUAAAAGAUCCAAAGGGCCAGAGGGACACUGUCUUCCAUGGGAAAGGAAGCAUACAAAAGGAACAGAAACUUCUCUGCAAAGCAUCAGUACAAACCCACUGGCCUGGAAUGAUAUUUAUCCUCUUAAUUAUGUUUUGCAAAAGACUGAUAAUAAAAGCAAUUUUCUAAGGAAAGGCUAAGAAAGUGUUUCAGAAUAAAAAAAGACUAAAG
rnacentral:lncRNA from 1 species